AAAUAUUUAUAGCGUAGGCCUUCGUAAUCUUCGGUGGUUUUAAAUCUAUUCGGUUCAUAGUAUAUUCAAUGUUCUGUGUGGUAUGUUCAAUAAACAUGGGAUGUGCACAAAGCUCACACGGUUUAAUAAGAGGGAGCGACAAAUUUUCCGCUGGCUGUCAGAAGAAAAGGAGAAAACACAUACUCAAAAGGGUAAAAAAAUGGGGAUCACAAGACUCGAAGGAAGGGGAUGGGGAUUCCGAUUCUUACACAGGAGGGGACGGCGGAGGUGAUGAUGGUGGCGGAGGUGGCGAUGUUGGCGGAGGUGGCGAUGGUGGCGGAGGAGGAGGUUGUGGUGGAGGGGGAGGCGGAGGUGGCGAUGGUGGCGGAGGAGGAGGUUGUGGUGGAGGGGGAGGCGGGGACUGAUUUAUCUACAUACAAUACAUGAAUUUACUCCAAAUUUUGUCGAUCGAUGUUGCGAUUGUCUGACAGUUAUCUUAUUUAUAAGACGCGCAAAGAUUUUAGGGAUACUUUUUAUAUGGGCUAAAUUCUUUGGAACCAAAUAUUACCAAUAUAAAAAGUAGCUUAAUAUUUGAGAGCCUCAACAAGCUGGACUUGUCUGACAGUGGAUAAUAAACGAAACAAUAUACUAGUAUUGUAUAAGAUACAAUUAUUUAUGACAUAUGUAAUUAUAAUUUUAGUGCUUAAUAAAGUUAUUGAACCAUUCAUAA